CAGUAGCCACGGUAAUACGAAGGGUGCAAACGUUACUCGGAAUUACUGGGCGUAAAGCGUGCGUAGGUGGUGGUUUAAGUCCGUUGUGAAAGCCCUGGGCUCAACCUGGGAAUUGCAGUGGAUACUGGGUCACUAGAGUGUGGUAGAGGAUAGUGGAAUUUCCGGUGUAGCAGUGAAAUGCGUAGAGAUCGGAAGGAACAUCUGUGGCGAAGGCGACUAUCUGGGCCAACACUGACACUGAGGCACGAAAGCGUGGGGAGCAAACAGGAUUAGAUACCCCAGUAGUCCCUGUCUCUUAUAA
rnacentral:rRNA from 1 species